rnacentral:lncRNA from 1 species
GCUUCGGCGCGCCGGGCUCCGCCGGGUGGAGUGAAGCUCGGGGCGGCCGGACUGGCGGCUGUUGCUAAGAGACCGGAGCCAUGACACAGGGAGAUUGCGGCAGGAUGGCAGUCGCUACCGGCCCGGAUCGGCGGCUCGGGGGCGCCCCCGCCCGCUCCUCCGGGCCCCCCUCCGCGACCGUCCCCGCGUCUCCGCUGCUUUUCCAGCCCGCCGGCCGCCCGUCCCUUCGGAAGCCAGGCGCCUGGGAGCUGGGGCGCGAGGGCAGGCGCGGAGGCAUCGCCGCGGGGCGCAGGGCGCCCCACCUUCCCGCCCGGGUCGGCUGGUUCGUCGCUGCCCACGCUGGCAGCUCGCUGCUUUCCCCAACUACCUGUCUGCGUAGCCCGAGGGGCCCCCAGGCCCGGCCCGCCUCUCCCGGGCGUCCCCCACCGCACCCGGGAGCGCUCUCCGGGGAGCCCGGCGGUGCCCCGUGCCUCUCCCCCUGGGCCUCUCUCUGCGCUUUUGUGGCCUCCACCCCGCGACGCGACACAGCCUUGGCGGAGUCACCCCUCCCACCCGGGAGUUUGCAGUGUGGACGCCCGCCCGCGAGCGAGCACACUGUUGACAGCAAUGCCAUGCCAUGUCCUGACCUUGUGGCGAGAGGAAAAGGAAGCAGGACAGCCUGAGCCCCCAGCAUUCACGGGUCUGGAGAAGUGCUAGAAGGAUUUCCAUUCGGUGCUCUGUGUGCAAGGCGUGGGAAGACCUUGGUGCUGCGGGCUGACAUGCCAGGACCCCUGACCUGUGUCCGGCUUUGGUGACAGCUGAAGGAGUGACAUGAUCAAGACCUAGCCCGGCGUGGCUGCCAACCUACGCGCCCUGGGAGAACAUAAGGAAGACAUCUCCGGUGUCACAAAUGCACCGGACUGACCCUAAAGCAAACUUGGAAUCGAAGGAGAACAAUUUGAAGAGACUCUUUGCCUCAGGAGAAGACCCAUGAAAGAGGAGUGGCCCAGGUGGCAGGAGACCCACAGAGUGUGCAGGAGGCUGAAGCAGCCUGGCCCAGCACCUUGUCCUCUGCAGAGGCCCCUGUCACUCACCAAGUCCAGCACCACACCUAGGUCACCCUGAGCACCAAGCCAGUGUGGGCAGUCGAGGGACAUCCCUGGGCAGCUUUCCUGUCACCCUGGACUGUGCUGGUCAUCAGCUGGGCACUCUGUUCCCUGUGGUGUGAGGAUUUGGUCCACACCGUCCACACACUGCCCAUCCUCCCUGGUCACUGCAGAUGCAGGCGGUGACCCUACUGGGUGAGGCUGGCAGUGCAGUGCAAGGCGACUGCCCUCAGGGAGGUCUGCUAGCACCAAACAGAGCCAGAUCAUUAGGAAAACACUGAAGUGCAAAAGGGGAGAAGGGCAGGUUUGGCCAGUGCCAUUUUCACCACUGUUGGCUGCUUCUCUACUAGUAGAGUAGCUGGCUGUGUGGCUUCAAUGUCAAGAUUACUGAGUUCAAAGCCUGUGUCUCCCUGUGUGGCCCUUGCACAGGUGACCCCAGCUAUGGGUGCCAAGCUCUGUGGCUGUGAAAGGAGGGCCCACUUCGCAGCAUGCCACCAGAGUGCACACGAGGGAAAGGGCUGCUGUGUUCUCAUUGCUGUCUCUGUCAUUCCUGUAAGGGACAUGGAGAGCCUGCUUCACACUUGGUCCUGAGACUCUCGGGGAAGGCAGAAGACCCUGCAGAACUUCAGGGUGCAGCUCUGUUUUCUGGCUCUGCUCUCUCAGCAGGGAUAAACCUUUCCGCAGAACUCUCCCUGCUGCCAUAAAAUGCCCUCUCUGCAGACUGGGACAUCCCCAGAUGCCAGGCAGACGGUGGCUCCGUGCCCUGUGCCCUCAACGCUCUGGUGGCGCCAAGGAGUUCUGCGUUCAGGUAGAAGGAACAGGAGACACUGUCAGCUUCCAGUCUGCAGGAGAGAGACCGGGAGGAGAGGGGAGAGGGAGAGGCAGUCCUGCCCCCAUCCCACCUCUCUCCCCAUGGCCUCUCACUGCUGCCUUCCACCUUGCAGUACCUGACCUGCUGAGUGAGCUCAGCCCCUGCCACAUUAGUUACACAAGCGUUUCCCGAGAGACAAGCUGAAGCUGUCCUGCUCACCUGCUCCUCUGAGCGCAUCCUGGAGGCUGUGAGAUAGGCCGCAUGCAGAGAGAAAGCAUUGUUCUGCAACCUGCUCUCUCCUCAGGGGUGAGAAGGAAGCAGGGGAAAAAGAAAAAGAGGAAUUAUUGACCCCUUUGUUUUCUCUUUGAAAAAUGUAAUGGAGCUCUGAAGCCAGUUCAAGUGAUGCGGGGACAAAUUUUGAAUAAAGGGUGAUCUUGACUUGACACUCACUCCCUGGUGUCCUUCCUGGGAGUCAGGCUUUCAGGACCACAGGUCGCAUCUGCAGGGGUUGAUCUGCAGGUUUUGCAUUUCUAGGGUGACACUGGGACGUUUCUCACUGCCGGGGCACCAGACAACACUGUGAUAGCAGAAGUGAGCUGCAUCUGUCCUGUCCAUGCAGAGCCCCAGCCACGCCUGGCUGUGCCCCGGCAGCUGAGUGACUUCACCUCAGAUUUCCCUAAGGUGCUUAAAUUUAAGUGGGUGAAUGUGAUUAGUGUAUGGGGUACAGGUUAGUGCUCAAAACACUAUCACAGCAGCACUAGGACCAGCCACAACAUACUAGACUGUGUCACCCAGCCACAAGAAGGAAGAGGGUGACCGGCAAGACCUUCCUGUCCCCAGUGGGAACUUCUGCUCCUGGCUGUGCCCGGUCACCACCUUUGGCUCCACCGGCCAGCUGAGGGACUGCAGCCUGCUCUCUCCAGGGAGAAUGAGGUUGAGAUGACAGAAGAACACGCAUCACCUCCUGGGCUAGGUACUGUUCCCACUCGGAAGCUCUCCCUUCCGGUACGGACUCAGCGAGAGGGUGACCUGGAGCGCUAAGCGGAGGGGUAGAUGGGAGCUGGUGUUGGGGUGCUGGGGUGUUGGUGAGGUCAAGAGGCUGGAAAGCAGUGCAGAAUCUGCAGCUGGGUGGCCACAUCCUGGUUCAGGAUUUGGGGACACAGGCUCAGGAGUUGAUGUGAGUUCCCAAUCCAAGAGAGAGGGAGGCCCCAGAGCCAUGUGGGAGCAGACCACGAGCAUGAGAGGACCAGGAGGGACCUCUGUCCCAGGCCAGGAAUGGGGGAGAAAAAGGAGAGAACAGGUGGUGGGGCCUGGCUCCUGGGCUGGGUGCAUGCAUUCCAUCUCUUGGGUCCCAGGACAGCAGGGCAC